GCUCGGCCCGAUCCUCCCACCCUUUGUGUACCUACCUCUGUUGCUUUGGCGGGCCGCGGUCCUCCGCGGCCGCCCCCCUCCCCGGGGGGGUGGCCAGCGCCCGCCAGAGGACCAUCAAACUCCAGUCAGUAAACGAUGCAGUCUGAAAAACAUUUAAUAAACUAAAACUUUCAACAACGGAUCUCUUGGUUCUGGCAUCGAUGAAGAACGCAGCGAAAUGCGAUAAGUAAUGUGAAUUGCAGAAUUCAGUGAAUCAUCGAAUCUUUGAACGCACAUUGCGCCCUUUGGUAUUCCGAAGGGCAUGCCUGUUCGAGCGUCAUUACAACCCUCAAGCUCUGCUUGGUAUUGGGCACCGUCCUUUGCGGGCGCGCCUCAAAGACCUCGGCGGUGGCGUCUUGCCUCAAGCGUAGUAGAACAUACAUCUCGCUUCGGAGCGCAGGGCGUCGCCCGCCGGACGAACCUUCUGAACUUUUCUCAAGGUUGACCUCGGAUCAGGUAGGGAUACCCGCUGAACUUAAGCAUAUCAAUAAAGCGGAGGA
rnacentral:rRNA from 1 species